rnacentral:rRNA from 1 species
AUUGAACGCUGGCGGCAGGCCUAACACAUGCAAGUCGAGCGGUAGAGAGGUGCUUGCAUCUCUUGAGAGCGGCGGACGGGUGAGUAAUGGCCUAGGAAUCUGCCUAGUGGUGGGGAUAACGUUCGGAAACGGACGCUAAUACCGCAUACGUCCUACGGGAGAAAGCGGGGGAUCUUCGGACCUCGCGCCAUUAGAUGAGCCUAGGUCGGAUUAGCUAGUUGGUGAGGUAAUGGCUCACCAAGGCGACGAUCCGUAACUGGUCUGAGAGGAUGAUCAGUCACACUGGAACUGAGACACGGUCCAGACUCCUACGGAGGCAGCAGUGGGAAUA